UGAGGGAAAGUUGCAAAGAACUUUGAAGAGAGAGUUCAAGAGUACGUGAAACUGCUCAGAGGUAAACGGGUGGGCCCUCGAAAUCCCGCUGCGGGGGGAUUCAGUCGGGAGGCCCGAUAUUUACGGAGUCGGGGGUUCCGACGGUCGACAUACCACGGGCCAUGUUCCCGUUCCGUUCUGGCCGCCCGACGCAAUUCCUCCCGCACGAAGGACGCCGCAGCCGGUCGGGUACUUUAAGAGUCGGCCGUGAGGACCGGGCCGACGGCAGGUGACGGGAGGCUCGACCUAGCGUGAGUCUUCCCGUUGUUAGCCUGGCCUGUCUCUGGCGCGACACCCGACCGAGGAGAGAACCGUCCGCGCACUCGUAUUCGAGCGGAACCGGCAGGCACGGUCGACGAGGGCGACACGGAACCCACCCGCGAGCGGUGGCCCGUUACCGAGUCGGCCGCGUUGCCUCUGGUUGAUCGCGUUUCUUAGUGCAGCAGAUGGCUUGCGGCGAGUAGGUCGGUCACCCACCCGUCCCGUCUUGAAACACGGACCAAGGAGUCUAACAUGUGCGCAAGUCGCAGGGUCUUGAACAGGCCCGACGGCGCAAUGAAAGUGGAUCGGCGAGAGACUCGUUCUCUCGCCUGUUGGGAUCCCCGCGACUCAGUUCGCGGGGCGCACCAACGGCCCGUCCCGAACGAUUCGUCGGUGGGCCGGAGUCGGAGCGCACACGUUGGGACCCGAAAGAUGGUGAACUAUGCCCGGGCAGAACGAAGCCGGGGGAAACCCUGGUGGAGGUUCGCAGCGGUUCUGACGUGCAAAUCGAUCGUCAGACCUGGG
rnacentral:rRNA from 1 species